CUCNAAUCUGCCAACUACCGAUCCGUCGAUGGUAAUUUAGCCUUGAUGGGGAGGUAAUCGGAAACGAAAGUCUUCCGGUUCCGGGGGAAGUAUGGUUGCAAAGCUGAAACUUAAAGAAAUUGACGGAAGGGCACCACCAGGAGUGGAGCCUGCGGCUUAAUUUGACUCAACACGGGAAAACUCACCCGGCCCGGACACUGUAAGGAUUGACAGAUUGAAAGCUCUUUCUUGAUUCGGUGGAUGGUGGUGCAUGGCCGUUCUNGGG
rnacentral:rRNA from 1 species